rnacentral:rRNA from 1 species
UACGGAGGAUCCGAGCGUUAUCCGGAUUUAUUGGGUUUAAAGGGUGCUCAGGCGGGGGAUUAAGUCGGCGGUGAAAUUUUGCGGCUCAACCGUAAAAGUGCCUUCGAAACUGGUUUCCUUGAGUGUGGAUGAGGUAGGCGGAAUUUGUGGUGUAGCGGUGAAAUGCAUAGAUAUCACGAGGAACUCCGAUUGCGCAGGCAGCUUACUAAGCCAUAACUGACGCUCAAGCACGAAGGCGUGGGGAUCAAACAGGAUUAGAUACCCUGGUAGUCCCU